GUGGAGGUGGCACUACAGACUAGGGUUUCGGUGGGAGCUCAGUCACAAUUGUAAGCUUGCAGUGUGUUGCAAAGCAAACAUUCUACAAGUUAAAACACGAGUGGCUUCAGGAACAUGAAGAAACUAUGGAAUCAUUGCCAUACCGUUUCAUGGUGAAGUAUAAAGAAGGCA